GAGGUUGUAGCUCAGUGGUAGAGUGUGUGCUUAGCAUGCAUGAGGUCCUGGGUUCAAUCCCUGGUACCCAUU
rfam:Camelus ferus unplaced genomic scaffold scaffold1534, whole genome shotgun sequence.